UGGAAAGCUCCAUCUUGCUUCUACAGACUUACCUUAAAACAUGUGAUUAGCAUAUGUUGUGCAAAUAAAAAUGACGUGAUCAAAUCACGGUUCCCACUGGAUUGCGGCCUAAAUUUGUUGAGCUCAGCUGCUAGGACGUUGAGACACUAUGGUGUGACAUCCACAACAGGAACAACCACGACCCUCAACAUUAUCUCCUUGAGUGACCCCGAGCUAAUAACACAAACACAAAAGGUGAACGUGUGUCACACACACAUAAUCACACUCACACUACCCUUUUGGAUGUCUAUAUCUAAGAACAUAUAUUAGGUUCAUCUCAUACAAGAGUGCCUGUGAUGUAUGUUGUUGUUCACUGUUCCUCAAGAGCACCAAGGCCUUCUUAGUCCCAAGGUUGAGUUGGAUGAGCGCAAUCCUCUCCAUCUAGAAGUUCCAUUUGUCUCCCCAUCGGAUUGACUAGUAUGUGUCGAGAACACUGUCAAGCGACUUGUCAACGUCCCUCCUUUGGAUCACCUCUUGACACCAAGUAUCGACACAAGCGUCCACGUCGAUAUCACAAGUGCCUCCGCAACAAUAAGCUUAGUCGCCUUUCCCUUUGCGUUGUGGUGGCAGUGGUUGCCACGAUGAGGCUCUCUGCAGAGUUUGAUGACUUUGAUCUAAGUCUCCCCAACAACUCUUGUGGCAGUUCUAUGACAAUAGCAUGUGCUGAUUCGGUGUCUAGAGCAAGGAUGAUCUGGUCUUUGUCGAUGAAUGUGUAGGGCCCCUCGUGCUAGGUGUAGCAGAGCCAGUGAUCGUAGCGGCCCACCAUAGCUGGGCAGUAGUCGCUGCCUCUUUCAGGCGCUGGAUCAAUAGCCGCUGCCUGUUUCUGGCGCCGAUCCAUCUAAAUGGACACUUGGACGUCAUUUCACUGUGUCAUAUGUAAAGCAUGUAACAUAACAAAACACAAAAGGUGAACAUGUCACACACACACACAAUCACACUCACACUACCCAUUUUCAAGUUUAUUUAUACUCGCACCCGCCCACACCGAGGAAGGGAGAACCAGAAACUCAUCCUCACCCACCUCACGCUCCAUUGCCUGCGCGCUCCCUCCACCAUAGCCUCGUUGGCCAGCGUUUCGAUAGAGAUCCUCGUCCUCAUCUUUAUCUACCUCUAGUGCUUCGCUGACCUCACGAGCGUUGCAGGCGUCUACAAAGACUGGUGCAACGCGUGCAUGUGCCAACAAGUACUUUAACAAGUUCAUGACAAAAUUAUUUAAGGUUGGGAAAUUAAAUUGUGUAGUAGAUCAGCACAGCCGUUGCCAAGUAUCACCAUGCAUAGCGCACGGAUGCGUAAGCCGACAGGAUUAUUGAGCUAUGUGUAUUUGCUGCUCUAUGGAGGUGGACAAACUUAGAAGGUGCAAAUCGAAGCCAGAUCCAAUGAAACGAGACAAUGUGGAGAAAUACGAGAACUUGAGCGAAUCGACCAUGGGCGCCUCAAACGAUGUGAUCAAGUCACGAUUCCCACUGAAUUGCAGCCUGAAUUUGUUGAGCUCGGCUGCUUGGACGUUGUGACGAUGUGGCAUGACAUCCAUAACAGGAACAUGCAUGACCCUGAACAUGGUCUCCUUGAGCGAUCCUGAGCUAAUAACACAAACACAAAAGGUGAAAGUGUGUCACACACACACAUAAUGACACUCACACUACCCUUGUUCAUGUCUGUAUCUAUGAUAUAACACAAAAGGUGAAUGUGUGUCACACACAAUCACACUCACACUCACACUACCCUUUUUCAAGUCUCUAUCUAUAGCCCCACUGCCCACACUGAGGAUGGGAGAAAUGGAAACUGAUCCCUACCCACCUCACGCUCAAUUGCCCGCGCGCUUGCUCUGCCAUGGCCUCCUUGUCCAGCGUCCCUAUAGAGAUCCUCGUCCUCAUCUUCAUGUACUUGUAGUGCUUCGUUGACCUCACAAGCGUUGUGGGCGUCUGCAAAGACUGGCACAACGCGGUGCAUGUGCCAACAAGUUCUUUAACAGGUUCAUCGUCAUAGCAACUAACCAGGUAAGCACAAGCAAAAAAAAAACCUCAAGUGAGAUAUCAUGAGAAAAGGAACAAGCAAAUUUAGGAAGAUCGGAUACAUCUAAGAACAGAUAUCAGGUUAAUCUCAUAGGAGAGUGCCCAUGAUGUAUGUUGUUGUGCUCACUGUUUCUCAAGAGCACCAAGUCCUUAGUCCCAAUGUUGAGCUAGACGAGCCCGAUCCUCUCCAUCCAGAAGUUCUAAUCCUCUCUCCAAACAAACAGAACCGAAUUGGCUGGUAUGUGUCGAGAAAACUGGCAAGUCGCCUGUCAAUGUCCCUCCACACCAACUAUCACCACAAGCAUCCACGUCGAUAUCACAAGUGCCUCUGCAACAACUAAGCUUACCCUUCUUUCCCCUUGCGUUGUAAUAGCAGUCCCAACCCUAGCUAAGCGAUGUCGGUUACAUCACCUCCUUCCUGCACACCAAGGACGCCAGUCACGUCCCGACCCUAGCCAAAUGAUGGAAGCACCAUCGGUGCUCUGCCUCACUCAACCUCGACUUCCAUGACCUCCCUAGCUUCCUCACAGACAACAACACUCUCGCCUCCGCCAUUGCCUAGAUCCUCUCUAGCCUGGCUUGGCUCCAGUCGCUUUCCCUCGAUAAUCUCAAGGAGGCAUCUCAGCCUACCUAAUGGAUGGACCAUGGUUCCUGUUAGCUCGAACGUUGCCAAGGCCCAUUUUUUGCUUCGUGCCCAGCCUCGGCGUCGCCUCUCACCGACUGCAGCCUUCCGAAUAGCACCGUCUAGACACUCCACAAUGCUUCUGAAUAGCGUUCUUGCUAGCUGCCCUAUCCUUGAGUGUU
rnacentral:lncRNA from 1 species